rnacentral:tRNA from 1 species
UGGAAUAUAGCUCAGUGCUAUAGUAUUUGGCCUUGAAUUCAAGAGGCUCUAGGUUUGAUCCUUAGUAUCUCAA